rnacentral:rRNA from 1 species
GUGCCAGCCGCCGCGGUAAUACGUAGGGUGCGAGCGUUAAUCGGAAUUACUGGGCGUAAAGCGUGCGCAGGCGGUGCUGUAAGACAGGCGUGAAAUCCCCGGGCUCAACCUGGGAAUUGCGCUUGUGACUGCAGUGCUGGAGUACGGCAGAGGGGGAUGGAAUUCCGCGUGUAGCAGUGAAAUGCGUAGAUAUGCGGAGGAACACCGAUGGCGAAGGCAGUCCCCUGGGCCUGUACUGACGCUCAUGCACGAAAGCGUGGGGAGCAAACAGG